UGGGGGAUAUUGCACAAUGGGCGAAAGCCUGAUGCAGCGACGCCGCGUGGGGGAUGAAGGCCUUCGGGUUGUAAACUUCUUUUGCUCUGAACAAGGCAUGCCUUUGGGGUGUGUUGAGUGUAGGGGUUGAUUAGCGCCGGCUAACUACGUGUCAGCAGCCGCGGUAAUACGUAGGGCGCGAGCGUUGUCCGGAAUUAUUGGGCGUAAAGGGCUUGUAGGUGGCUGGUUGCGUCUGUCGUGAAAGCUCAUGGCUUAACUGUGGGUUUGCGGUGGGUACGGGCUGGCUUGAGUGCAGUAGGGGAGGCUGGAAUUCCUGGUGUAGCGGUGGAAUGCGCAGAUAUCAGGAGGAAUACCGGUGGCGAAGGCGGGUCUCUGAGCUGUUACUGACGCUGAGGAGCGAAAGCGUGGGGAGCGAACAGG
rnacentral:rRNA from 1 species